ensembl:lncRNA
CACACACACUAUCUGUCAAACGUUUUACGAAGAAGGACAGUGAUGGAAUGCUGCAUCAGAUUACCUGGCCUCCACAAUCCUCUGACCUCAACCAAAUUGAGAUUAUUUCGGUGGAGUCGGACCACAGUGUGAAGGAAAAGCAGCCAACAAGUGCUCAGCAUCUGUGGGAACUCCUUCAAGACUUUGAAAAGCAUUCCAGGUGAAGCUGGUUGAGAGAAUGCCAAGCGUGUGCAAAGCUGUCAUCAAGGCAAAGGGUAGCUAUUUUGAAUAAUGAAAUAUAAAAUGAAUUUUGAUUUGUUUAAAAACUUAUUUGGGAUCGGUGUCCUUUCCACGGGACGGUUGAGCUUACGUAGGCUAAUGCGACUAGAAUUAGGUUGUAAGUAACAAGAACAUUUCCCAGGACGUAUUGGCAGAAAGCUUAAAUUAUUGUUAAUCUAACUGCACUGUCCAAUUUACAUGAGCUAUUACAGUGAAGGAAUACCAUGCUAUAGAUUGAGAAGAGUGCACAAUUUUGAACAUAAGUUAUUAAUAAACAAAUUAGGCACAUUUGGACAGUCUUCAUACAAUUUUUAAACAGAAAUACAAUGGUUCAUAUGAUCAGUCUAAAACCUUACAUAUACACUGAUGCCAUCUAGUGGCCAAAAUCUAAAUUGCACCUGGGCUAGAGUAAUACAUGCCCUUUCUCUUGCAUUUCAAAGAUGGUUAAAAAAUAAAAAAGUUAUUUUUCUUUAUUAUCUUUUAACAGAUCUUUUGUGUUGUAUUCUACUACAUCCCUUUCACAUUUCCAUUAAACUUCAAAGUGUUUCCUUUCAAAUGGUACCAAGAAUGUCAUUUUAGGCGAGAGUAUAAAAAAGGGGCUAAUCCUUAAGAGGUUUAACACUUUUUUGGUUAUUACAUGAUUCCAUAUGUGUUAUUCCAUAGUUCUGAUGUUUUCACAAUUAUUCUACAAUGUAGAAAAUAGUAAAAAUAAAGAAAAACCUUUGAAUGAGUAGAUGUUCUAAAACUUUUGACUGGUAGUUCAACACGUUUUAGUCACCGAGAAUUAAAUCCAUUGAUUUAAAUUGGAAUCAUACUAUUUCCCCCAUGAAUAAUGUCAUUCAGUGUAACUGUAAGGGAUUUUCAAAUUACUUGAUUAUUUUUCCAGUAUUAGCAUUCAUCUGUUUAUAGAUAGUAAUAGUUUGAUAUCAACAAAUGUCUACUGCUUUGAAAAUCAUACAUCUGGUAUUUUCUACUAACAUGAUGUCAUUUGCUGAUUUCAGCACCCAAAAUGUCAGCUCAAAAGUGAAAAAAGCAGGAAAAUGUCUAAAUGCUUUUCUGUAAAGGGGUAAAGAUUGUCAUGGAUCAGCUUUAAUAUUGCAGAUUGUGGCUUCCAUCAAUGUUGUCUGCAUAAUUGUCUGCACAUUUCCAAUCCCCCAUAUAAAAAAAUAGAUUUCCCUUUUAUUAUUCUCUCCUGAUUGGAAUACACUAAUGGACAACAACACUUAGGCGUCUACCUCCAGCUUAUACAUGCUAUAUACAAUUUUCGGACACAGUAUAUUUGAAAAUAGUUAUCUUUUGUUUAGUUUUUAGUCCCAUCUCUGAACACCAUCCAGUUUUGAUUUAUAUUUGCCGUAUAUUUUUCAACUGUGCUGUGAUGUUUCGCAAAAGUUUUGAACCUUUCUAUUUUCAUAGUUUCUACAGAUUGUAAAUUGAAAAUAAACUGCUUGGC